rnacentral:tRNA from 1 species
GUUCCCGUAGUGUAGCGGUUAUCACGUGCGCUUAACACGCGCAAGGCCCCCGGUUCGAUCCCGGGCGGGAACA